UUUCAGCGAUCCGAGCAACAGGGGGCGGUCGGCCGGGCGGUCCUUCCCGUACGUGGCCAGCAACGCCUGUGCUUC
rnacentral:antisense_RNA from 1 species